CUCCAGAGAAGGCUGUGCAAGUGCUACUUACAUAAUUCAUAAGAACGUGAAGACCAAAGCAAGCAGUUGGCAUCCAAUAAAAGGAACUCAGGGAAGGUCAUGGUGGCUGAAUGAGGCCCGUUUCCUAAGAACAAGAAAUGUGGGACACAGAAAGGAUCUUGUACCCAGGAACCCCACAGGGCCGUGUCUCGUAUCAAGAGUGACAAUUCCAAGAAUCCCACUGCACCCCAAGCCAAUUAAAUCAGGAUUUCUGGAAAUAGGGCUGUCAGUUUUUCAAGCUCUCCAAGUGAUUUCAACAUACAGCCAAACAAAACAGCUCGCCUCUUUAAAACAGUGCUUCUGAAAAUUUGAUAUGCAGAGGAAUCACGUGGGGAAUCUUGUCUGUAAGCCUGCAAUUCUGCCUUUCUAAAGCUCACUCGGGAAAAACAACUGAUCUAAGGAUCACACUUUGAAUGUGCCUGGCUUCAAAGACAUUUUUUGGGGGAAAUUCCGAGUUCUCAUGCAGGCUUCAGUGAAUUCUUAUGUAAGUAUGUAUGUGUGGAGGGGGUUGGGGGGGGCACGUGGGGAGGAGAUCAGGAUAAUCAGAGCCCUAUUAAACAUUCUGUUUUUUUUCUCAACCAACAAGAAAGCACAGCAUGUUCUAGUUAUGCUCAGAGUCAUCUAUAAAAAAAGAAAAAUUCUCUUCAUAAAUGCCUGGGAAGAUAACUAUUACUCCUCCAGUGACGGCUGUCCUGCAUUCUCAAAGACAGGUGAAAGCUUGUUAUGAAACCGAAGGUUGCCAUUAGUUAUACCCAUUUCACCUGUAACUUGCCUUUAUUAAUCAUUAUCGUUUUAAUUGUUGCCUCAAGAUUUGCAUGUUCUCCAACCACUAGGUAUCCUAAACAAUGUUUGCCUGAGUUUUCUAGAAAUUGGGAGUCAGCUGUGUCCAAUUCAGCUGACCUGGUUAAGACAGGACGGGAAGUACCCACCCUUCAACUGGGCAUGCUCAAACAGCUACCCAGCGACCUUUUGAAGGCCUGUAGCACAGCGUACUUACGCCUGCGCAAAGAUGAUGACCAUGAUUCCCCAACUUUUUCCACUCACAAGUCUCCAGGCUCAACCCAUGCUCACCACUUCUGAGUAUCCUGAGCCCUUACUUUCUGGGGGGCAGAUGGGAGAUUUGUCCUCCAAUCUCCUUGCUUGGCUUCCUUGCAAAUAAGCCCUCUCUUUGCCGAAAACCUGUGCAUUUCAGUAUUUUGGCUUGCUGUGCAUCGGGAAAAACGAGCCUGGGUUUGGCAAGGGCAAGCUCUGGAGGGAGGUCUAGAUGGAAUUCUUGCUCGUCAGCCCCUUGCAGGUUCUAAGAGUCUGUGGAUGAACCAAGCAGCUGCAAGGUACAUUCAUUCCAGGACUAUUCUUGACGUCCCCCAAGCGAGGUACCCUUGAACUUCAUUUUUUUUUUUUAGCUUUUUAGGGCCACACCUAUGGCAUAUGGACGUUCCCAGGCUGGGGUGUUCAAUGAGAGCUGUAGCCACCAGCGUAAGCCACAGCCAUAGCAACGCGGGGAUCCAAGUCGCAUCUGCGAUCUGCACCACAGCUUGCGGCAAGGCUGGAUCCUUAACCCACUGAGCAAGGCCAGGGACCGACCCGCAUCCUCAUGGAUACUAGUUGGGUUCCAUAACUGCUGAGCCCCGAUGGGAACUCCUGAACUUCUGCAUUUAGUUUGCCCUUGCAGCUAAGAAACAAACGGCCUUGGGGGCUGGGUUUGGAACACACCUUUUGGGUGAGUAAACUUGUUAAAGAAAUGUACCUAUUUCUAGAUUGUUUUUGCAAUCCUGACGAAAUGAUGGGUUGGAGGCCCACCUGGUGGGAUUUUGGCAAAUAGUAUAAAAGUUUACAGCUGUUGAGGUACUUGGUACCUGGGUUAAAGGCCUGGGACUCUGGUUUUUGGAUUUAGGCUUGUUUGGACAUGGCCAUUUAUGACUCAUUGUCUUAAUUGUUAAGAACUGGCUAUUGGGGGUUGAACUUCUUGGUAACCAUGGCUGAGACCAUCAGAAAGAUUUUGUUGCUGCAACCCCCUGAAAGCAAAGCUCCUUUAAGGUGGGAAACAUUAAUUCACAUCCUAGGCUGCUUUCUCAAAUUCAGGAACUCUCAGUGAUGAAUCUGGGGAAAAGAAAAAUAGGGUAUUUUUUUGGUAACACUGCAUGGCUACUGUAUCUUUAGGCUCUGAAGCAAAAUGGUCUGCAAAUGGAACUUAUAUUCCAGUACAGUUUUGCAUCUAGACCUACUUUGUAAAUGGGAAGAAAAAUGGGAUGAAAUACCUUAUGUAUAUAUAUAGUCUUGUAUGUUUAUUGUAUCAGAAUAAACUUGUGCAAAGAAAAUGUAAGAUUAUGAUUCAAAAGCAAGGAAAGGCAAACCUGAUUUGCUUGAUUCUAAGGAGGAGGAGGAUGACUUGCUAUUAUUUUAGCUGAACUCUCUGAAGGCCCUUCUUCCACCUUAUACGAUGGUGUUGCUGCUCUUUUGUUGCUGGUGCUGGAGCCUGGGCUCCACAUGUGCCAGAUGAAUAUCAGUUUGUGCAGGACUUAAGAGUAAAUAAUGAAAUUCUAGAAGAUAUUCAUCCACUAGUCCCUAAUCCAUAUGCUCUGCUCACUAUUCUGUCUGGAGAUUUUUGUUGGUUUACCAUAUUGGAUUUGAAGGAUGCCAUAUCUAUCUCCUUGAGUUUUGAAUCCCAGAAGUUUUUUGCUUUCAGAUGGAAAGAUCUAGAUACAAAAGUUAAACAGUACUGCAAUACAGUACUUCAUGGAUUUAAAAAUUCACUUAUAAUAUUUGGAGAAAUCCUGCCAAAAGAUUUUAGGGACCCUUAAUUAAAAGAGGGAGCCCUGGAGUUCCCUUCGUGGCCCAGUGGUAAAUGAAUCCAACUAGGAACCAUGAGGUUGAGGGUUUGAUCCCUGGCCUUGCUCAGUGGGUUAAGGAUCCAGUGUUGCCAUGAUCUGUGGUAUAGGUUGCAGAUGUGGCUCGGAUCCUGAGUUGCUGUGGCUCUGGUGUAGGCUGGUGGCUACAGUUCUGAUUCAACCCCUAGCCUGGGAACCUCCAUGUGCCACAGGUGAGGCCCCAGAAAAGACAAAAAAGACCAAAAAAAACCAAACAAACAAACAAAAAACAAACAGAAGCCCUACUUCAGUUUGUGAAUGAUACUCUGAUUGCUAGUAAGGCAAAGGACACCUCAAAUCAAAAUACAGUUUUGACUUUGUCAAGAGAAUUCAACUUUUUGCUUGAAUGAGGCUAUAGUUCAAGAAAAAGGCACAGAUUUCUCAGCCCUCUUAAAUAUUUGGGUAUUGUCCCAUAUUGGAAAAAACAUACCAGGACUCUUGAAAGCAAUAACAGAGCAUGUUUCUCUGAAGGGCAGCCUAUUGUUAUUUUGGAAUCAAAUCCUGGGUCUCUUAUCCCUCUGAAUAGAAGAAGGAUUGGGGAGGAGACAGAGGAGGGGCUUAAUAGGUGAAGGAAAUUAAGAAAUACAAACUGCUGGAGUUCCCGUCGUGGCGCAGUGGUUAACGAAUCCGACUAGGAACCAUGAGGUUGCGGGUUCGGUCCCUGCCCUUGCUCAGUGGGUUAACGAUCCGGCGUUGCCGUGAGCUGUGGUGUAGGUUGCAGACACGGCUCGGAUCCAGCGUUGCUGUGGCUCUGGCGUAGGCCAGUGGCUACAGCUCUGAUUCGACCCCUAGCCUGGGAACCUCCAUAUGCCGCGGGAGCGGCCCAAAGAAAUAGCAAAAAGACAAAAAAAAAAAAAAAAAAAAAAAAAAAAAA
rnacentral:lncRNA from 9 species